GUAGGGUCAUGCAGUGUUGAUAUUAAGUCUUUUAGAUUUUACCAUCUAAGCAUCUUUUGCAUUUUUCCCCUCUCUGUGUCCAUUAGCCCCUAGCCAAGUCCAAACUACCAUCAGCUCUGGCCUGGACCACUGCAGCAGCCUCAAAGUUCUCAUCCCCCUCUCAUCUGAACUCCACAGAGCAGCCAGAAUGGCUCUUUCAAUCUCAGGCUGAUUUUGUCACACUCCCUACCCCACCCUGACCCCCAUUCAUUUCCUUCCAUUGCUUUUUAGAAUGAACACAACAUUCUUCAUGUGGCCAGAGGAUCUGCUGAGCUGGUCCCUACUGAUCUCACCAGACUUCUCUCCCAGCCACCUGCCUUUGCAGUCGCCCCUCUCUCCAGACAGUCCUUCCCCUUUCCCUGGUCCUGCCUUCAGGCACAGCUGCCAUCACUUCUGCAGGAGGUUUUCUCAAUUCUCACGGGUAGCACUUUAGCAAUUUUACAUUGAUUUACAUAAUAUUUUGACUAGGUGCAUCUCUUUGAGUGAACUGGAAUUUCUCACAAAGGCAGACACUCUCUGUUUCUUCACUAUUGCAGCCCUAGUGGUUGGCAUGUAGUAAGCUCUAUAUACCUGCCUUCUCCUCCCUAUAAAAAUCCUCAGAGAAGACACAGGGUCCUGAGAUGGAUCAGAACUUUGUAAUUAUAUUCAGGAGGAGUUCUGUCUAUUCAUUCAUCAUGACAUGUGUAGUAUCAUGUGCUUUUUUUUUAAAAUUUAGGUUUAAUACAUUUUCAAUCAGCCUAUGCACAUGGAAUAUGCGCCAUUUAGAACCGUGGAAUUCUGGGCCCAGCUGGACUCAGCCAGCACAGAGCAAGCACUGUUAGUAAUGAUUUGAACACUUUUUUGAAUACUUGGUAUAUCUCACUUCCCGUGGCAUGAUGAAAACAAACAUUUAUUGAACACGAACUAUGUGCUAGAUGUACCCUUUGUCUUUAUGUUGCUUAUGGUCUGGGGAGGAAAGAGACGCUAAACAAGUAACCACAAGUUUAUAAGUUUUACAAAAGGGGCAGAUGAUAUGCCACAGAGAUGCAGAACAGAGGGGUCCGAGUCUAGUUUAGGGAAUCAGGGGAAGGCAUCUCUGCAUAAGGAAUAUUUGAGCUGAGAUCCAGAGGAUGAGAGGAAGUUAGAGCAGGAUGCAGGGAGCAGUACAUGUGUGGGCUUCCCUUGAACUUAGGAAGAAAGGGUGUCUAAUGGGCAGCAGGAAGUACUAAGUUCCACCUCUCUACUGUGAACUGGGGCUUGCCCCAUCCACACUGUGGAUCUCGACUCCUCAUUUGUCAUGAGUGGUUGGCUGAGAGGGCCUGUGCUGACCUGGACUCUGGGCUGGGUCUAGCGGGCAAACGCCACACUAAAAGGAGAAGGAGUCGUGGGUAGGCAGGCAACCCUCAGGACUCCCUUCUCUCAGGCAUCACACAGGCUGUUGCGAAUUCAGCACCACCAGUGAUCAGAGCAAUUUUAAACAUCAUCCCCACCGGUAAUUUUUACUCGUUUCUUUAUUAAUAUAGAAAAGGAGCCCAGGGCAGCUGGACCAGUAGUACAAAGCACCAGGAGUUAAUACCAUUCUGGUGAAGGGGAUGGUUUUACAAAAGUGAAGGAGCAGGCAGGAGCCACCAGGUUCUGAGGCCAGGGAUAGAGGGUCAUGCAGUGGGAACCACCCAGUGGCUGAUAAGGACAGG
rnacentral:lncRNA from 1 species